CAAGAAUGUAGCCAGCUAUCUAACAACAGGAGAGCAUCAGGCUUGUUUUCACUCUCAACAAAAACUAAAGUCAGUGACAAGCCAACUGGCAUUCUGGGUACCAGGGAAUGUUAUAAUCUAACUCCCAGCAUAGAAACACAAGAUCUCCUCAUCAGAGCCUGCAUCUAGUUACCAACAUGGCCAGAUGCUGCUAUCAUCACACAGCCUGCAGGCUAGGGACUGCCUGCAGACAUGUUUCCAUGAAGCUCAAUGCACGAACACUGGCUAUGUUCAUAUCAAGAAGUUCCUAAACAAACACAAGUUUUACAAAGCUGAUGUCCAAAAGUACUCCAUCAUCAGUAAGGUACUUUAAUUACCCUCCACUAAAAGGAAAAAAAAUGUAACUUCCUAAUUUUGCAAAUUGUCUUCAGAAAUGUUCUGGUCAAUAAUUAAGCAAACACAGUAACAA